rnacentral:rRNA from 1 species
GGGAAGUACGGGCUAGGGGAGGGGGGGAUAGGUAGGGGGUGAGCGUAGGCCUGAAUGAUUGGGCGUAAGGCGCACGGAGGCGGUUGGUGUCGUCGUGAGUGAAAGCUCCGGGCUCAACCGGGAGCGUGCUUCGGAUGCGGGGUGACUAGAGGUAUGAAGGGGAGAGCGGAAUUCCUGGUGUAGCGGUGGAAUGCGUAGAUAUCAGGAGGAACACCGGUGGCGAAGGCGGCUCUCUGGGCAGUAACUGACGCUGUGGAGCGAAAGCAUGGGGAGCGAACAGGAUUAGAUACCCUAGUAGUC